UACUCACUUCAUGAUUUUAUGUAAAGAAUAUAUUUAAAUUAUUUCCUCACAUUUUUUAAAGAGGCCAGGUAUGGUGAAGAGAUAAUUCAUUUUUUAUUCAAAAUUUCAUUUUCCAUGCAUUUGUACAAUGUACAGGGAGUCUGUAUGCACCUGAGGUGAGCGUCAGAUUUAAUUUUGAAGGUUGAUUACUUUCAGAUGUUGUGAUGAAGAUUGUUGAAAGAGAUUAUCAACAUAGAACCAAUCCAUAUGAAUGUGCAAGUCAGGACUUGUACAACACCUGAGUACCCAGAUGACUGUUGAACUAAUUGGUGAACAAGAAAAGAUGUCAGAGAGGGGAAUCCAAUACAGUUGUCAAGAAUAUAUACUGUUAUCAAUGAUAUGAUCAAAAAUUUGUAAACUUGUAGUGAUUUAGAAUAUCUAAUCUCUAAUAUAACUCUUCAUUACUUAAUUGUUCACACAUUAUCAUCUUAUUUGUAUAUUAAUUGCCCCCUCUUAUAUAACUCCCUGCUGAUCCUAAUGACCUGUGUAUUGACUCUUGAUCUUAAGGAUCUUAUAAUGUGCUCCUGAUCGUCAGGAGCAGAUCUUGAGUAUAUCUAUAGUGCGACAGAAUUUUAGAAUAAGAUAGGAAGAUGGAAAUAUAGAAGACUUAGUAGAUAGAAAUGUUAGAGAUAGAUAAAGCUACAUACUUACUUGGAAUAUUACCUUAUAUUUCUCGGAUUUAUAUGUACAUGUGAAUAUUUUACUUGGAUUUUAUUUUUUGUGAAUCAUUUUUCCUGAAUGUUUCUAUUUGUGAUGUGCUGUGUAAAUAAACUGUAGACUAGAAUUUCGGCAUCUAUUUUCAAGAUAUGAGGAACAAGGAUAAAUUGAUUUAUAAAUGCAAACUGAGAUUAUGAAAUGUGUUGUAAGACUGCCCGGUGGGGCGCUACAAGCUAACUAGGAAAUAUCUUGGAGAUUUAUAGAUGAACAUGCAAGCAUUCAUGAUUUUGUAUGUUAUUCAGCCAGAGAGUUUUUGCACAAAUUCAAUUUUCAGUACAGUAAUUUAAACUGGAUGUGUAAUUUUCAGUACAGUUAUGUAAAAUGAAUAUGUUACUUAUUAUGAUUGUCAGUUUCUCAACAGGACAUAAUUGUAGUUUAUUUAUAUGCAGAUUUGCAGAACAAACCACACAGAACUUUUUUUCUCUUUGUGCAUCAUGAUCAUACACUUGUAAACCUUUUACACCACCAUGAUUACAUAUUUUAAAAUUUAUUAUGUUGACGUGUAAAUCGAGCACACACAUGAAAAAGUGUACGCGUAUAGCUGGAUACAUUACAUAUGCAAACAUACAUCUACCAUAACCUAUUACAUAUUUUCCAAGGUGUGUGAAGUCGAGCACAUACAUGAAAAUGUGUGAAGCUGGACACAUACACAAAUACACAUGCAUCUGCCACAACCUAUUACAUAUUUUCCAAGGUGUGUGAAGUCGAGCACAUACAUGAAAGUGUGUGAAGCUGGACACAUACACAAAUACACAUGCAUCUGCCACAACCUAUUACAUAUUUUCCAAGGUGUGUGAAGUCGAGCACAUACAUGAAAGUGUGUGAAGCUGGACACAUACACAAAUACACAUGCAUCUGCCACAACCUAUUACAUAUUUUCCAAGGCGUGUGAAGCCAAGCACAUACAUGAAAAUAUGUGAAGCUGGACACAUAUGCAAACACACUAACAUUUACCACAGACAUAAAAACAUAAUCUAAACUUAAUCAAGCACAGACAGGCUCACGGGGUGAAGCUGGACUCGUACAUGAUCUCAUGCAUUUUGCAAACUGCAUCCUCGCAUAUAUUCUAUUAGAUUUUUCACCAUUUUUUGAGUUUGUGAAUAUGUAAAAUGCAUCAUUUUGCAUUACAAGUUGAAGAUGUUAUUAGCCUGUAUAUAAGUGCAAAUCAAAUAGCCUUUUAUGUAAUUUUUUUCCACAUUCUAUUUAAACUGCAAAGUUUAUUUUAUAAAUGUACAUGCACCAUUAAGAAUAAAUAAUGUACCGGUAUUAUAUUUUAAAGUGAAAUGAGACCUCCAUUUCAAAAGCAGAAAUGUGAAAUUUAUACUUAUCAUCUGUAUUAUUUUUUUCUAUUUUUUUCUCACAUGUAUCUGAAUGUUUAAAGGAAAACAAAAGACAAAGAUAGCUCAAUAUAAUGUUUAUAUUCAAGGUUAUAACUGGAUAUUGUUUGUGCUGUAUAUCUGACUCAUCAUAUGAUGAGAAGCAAAAAUGCAGAAUAUUUUAGAUCAUUUUUGUUUGGAAAAUGAAAAUUAUCAAUAUGCCAAUUUUUCCCAUUGUUAUAUUAUUAAUUACUCUAUCAUUAAUAUCAAUGUACAUAUUAAAGAUCUAUGCCAUCCAAUUCAGAGAUUUGUAGGCAAUCCUGGUGCAGAUAAUAUUUUUUUCCUGUGUUUUGUAGUAUAGCGGGAACACAUUGUAUGUGAGGAACCUAUAUUAAUUGUUUUGGUUGUAUAUGUGGGCAUGGCCAAAGGAAGGCCAAUGAGAAAUGAGUAUUCAGUAAGGUGUUCAAAUCAUUCUAAGCCAGUGCUCUUCAAUAAACACAGGUUUUUUUGCUUUAUAUAUAAUCUAUAUAUCAUAUUUGUAUAAAUAUAGUGGUAAUGGAAAUAACAAAACUGUUGAAAUGUAUUUUAAUUUGGAUUUUUUCAUACAUGCAAAUAUUAUAGGAUGUUCCUGCAUUUUUAACUAUUGCACCGAAUGCACGUCCGGCAUUCUCCCUUGAGACAUUAUUUACAUAGCGACGGACACAGGUUUUCCAUAGUAAACCAUCUAUGGUUUUUGCCUGGGCGGUUUUUAAUGUCAGUGAUAGAGAUACUAUUUAUUAAAUGUAAAAUAUUUUACAAAUGCAUUGCAGUGCUUUAUUGUUUCACAUUCAAUGUAAUGUAUGUUAAAUAUUUAUGUAUUGUUACAUUUAUCAAAAUAAACGCCAGCUGCUCCAACUAAGCUAACCUGGCUUACAGCA